rnacentral:lncRNA from 1 species
GUGCAUGCCUUUUAUGCGUUGUCGCCAGCCAUAAUGUGCAGGUCGGACAUGAGGCAAUAAAAGCUUGGCCCACCAACCACAUGGGUCCUACCGCCCUGUCAACGUAGAGCCGUGCUGUUUGAAGUCAUCACAGAUAUAAACUACACGUUGCAGCAACUCUCAAUCGCAUUCCUGCCCGUCAUGUCGAACAGCGUAGCGCUAAUUUUAGUUUGAGGUCUGCACUCUUACUACAAUGCAGAUGGUGACAGCAUCAGGCUGCACUCGGUUACCGUCGUGAAUCAUGGACCAAGACUGCAUUCUUAGGCCCACUCCUUUUUGGUGGAUCAGGUCUUGCCGUCUUCCCCUUUCGUGGCUUCCUCUCGUAAUUAAAUAAAUUGUCAUAUUUUUUUCUGA